AUUGAACGCUGGCGGAAUGCUUUACACAUGCAAGUCGAGCGGCAGCGCGGGGGCAACCCUGGCGGCGAGCGGCGAACGGGUGAGUAACAUAUCGGAACGUACCCCGUCGUGGGGGAUAACACAGCGAAAGCUGUGCUAAUACCGCAUACGACCUGAGGGUGAAAGCGGGGGAUCGCAAGACCUCGCGCGAUGGGAGCGGCCGAUAUCGGAUUAGCUUGUUGGUGAGGUAAAGGCUCACCAAGGCGACGAUCCGUAGCUGGUCUGAGAGGACGACCAACCACACUGGAACUGAGACACGGUCCAGACUCCUACGGGAGGCAGCAGUGGGGAAUAUUGCGCAAUGGGCGAAAGCCUGACGCAGCCACGCCGCGUGAGCGAUGAAGGCCUUCGGGUCGUAAAGCUCUGUGGGGAGAGACGAACCGGCGUCGUGGCUAAUAUCCACGGGUCUUGACGGUAUCUCCUUAGCAAGCAUCGGCUAACUCUGUGCCAGCAGCCG
rnacentral:rRNA from 1 species